GGUUUAUCUCAGGGCAGGGUGAAAGUCCCUACCGGCGGUAACAUGAAAUGAUCAAAUGAUUAUUUUGUGAAGCCCGCGAGCGCUCUGUUUGUUGUUAUCCCUAAUUUUGGAUUUUUUGAAAUUAAAGGAUAUAGCAGAGGUCAGCAGAUCCAGUGUAACUCUGGAGCCGACGGUGAUAGUCCGGAUGGGAGAGAAUAACA
rnacentral:ncRNA from 2 species